rnacentral:rRNA from 1 species
UACGGAGGGUGCAAGCGUUAUCCGGAUUCACUGGGUUUAAAGGGUGCGUAGGUGGGCAGGUAAGUCAGUGGUGAAAUCUCCGGGCUUAACCCGGAAACUGCCGUUGAUACUAUUUGUCUUGAAUAUUGUGGAGGUAAGCGGAAUAUGUCAUGUAGCAGUGAAAUGCUUAGAUAUGACAUAGAACACCAAUUGCGAAGGCAGCUUACUACACAAUGAUUGACACUGAGGCACGAAAGCGUGGGGAUCAAACAGG